rnacentral:rRNA from 1 species
AAAACUUUCAACAACGGAUCUCUUGGUUCCAGCAUCGAUGAAGAACGCAGCGAAAUGCGAUAACUAAUGUGAAUUGCAGAAUUCAGUGAAUCAUCGAGUCUUUGAACGCACAUUGCGCCCCUCGGUAUUCCGGGGGGCAUGCCUGUUCGAGCGUCAUUAUA